AGAGUUUGAUCCUGGCUCAGGAUGAACGCUAGCUACAGGCUUAACACAUGCAAGUCGAGGGGAAACGAUGAGAGAGCUUGCUCUUUCAGGUGUCGACCGGCGCACGGGUGAGUAACGCGUAUCCAACCUGCCCAUUACAGGGGAAUAACCUUGCGAAAGUAAGACUAAUGCCCCAUGGUAUUCUCAGCAGACAUCUAAUGAGGAUUAAAGAUUUAUCGGUAAUGGAUGGGGAUGCGUCUGAUUAGCUUGUUGGCGGGGUAACGGCCCACCAAGGCAACGAUCAGUAGGGGUUCUGAGAGGAAGGUCCCCCACAUUGGAACUGAGACACGGUCCAAACUCCUACGGGAGGCAGCAGUGAGGAAUAUUGGUCAAUGGGCGAGAGCCUGAACCAGCCAAGUAGCGUGCAGGAAGACGGCCCUAUGGGUUGUAAACUGCUUUUAUAGGGGAAUAAAGUGGACUACGUGUAGUUUAUUGUAUGUACCCUAUGAAUAAGGACCGGCUAAUUCCGUGCCAGCAGCC
rnacentral:rRNA from 1 species